UCCGGUUUGUCACCGGCAGUCUCCUUAGAGUGCCCAACCUAAUGCUGGCAACUAAGGACAAGGGUUGCGCUCGUUGCGGGACUUAACCCAACAUCUCACGACACGAGCUGACGACAACCAUGCACCACCUGUGAACCGACCCCAAAGGGGAAACCACAUCUCUGCAGCAGUCCGGUCCAUGUCAAGCCUUGGUAAGGUUCUUCGCGUUGCAUCGAAUUAAUCCGCAUGCUCCGCCGCUUGUGCGGGUCCCCGUCAAUUCCUUUGAGUUUCAGCCUUGCGGUCGUACUUCCCAGGUGGAUUACUUAAUGCUUUCGCUCAGACACACACAGUGUAUCGCGUAUGUCGAGUAAUCAUCGUUUAGGGCGUGGACUAC
rnacentral:misc_RNA from 1 species